rnacentral:rRNA from 1 species
AACUGAAGAGUUUGAUCAUGGCUCAGAUUGAACGCUGGCGGCAGGCUUAACACAUGCAAGUCGAGCGGGGGAAGUAGCUUGCUACUGGACCUAGCGGCG